rnacentral:rRNA from 1 species
GACUCUCGGCAACGGAUAUCUCGGCUCUCGCAUCGAUGAAGAACGUGGCGAAAUGCGAUACUUGGUGUGAAUUGCAGAAUCCCGUGAACCAUCGAGUCUUUGAACGCAAGUUGCGCCCUAAGCCAUUAGGCCGAGGGCACGCCUGCCUGGGCGUCA